AGCGCCUCUGUAGGAGGCCGCAAGAGGGUGGAGGAUGUCUCCUUAUCAGUUUUAUUGGCGAGUUUGAGAGUUCUGAGACUUCGUUUCAGUGGGUUUGGCCAGAGAGAAAAGGCGUCGCUGCUCAGAGACCAAGUUGGUGCUCCUUUGAUAGUGCACUAAGAAAUCUUCAAUCCGAGUCCCCGCCAGAGACAUUUUGUGUGAAGGCAAGCCCGGAACGUUGCAUUUCUGGGCGUCCAAUGAAUGUUGUGCUUUCUUUUCGCACAGAAACUUGAGCGAAGCCAUUUUUACAAAGAAAAUGCGUGAAGCAGAGAAUUAGAGCGAGUUGGGGCCGAUUUUACAGAUUCGGGCUUUUUUCCUGGCGCGAUGAAGGGACAGUUCAGGGAAUGGGGAACUUGGCGGCGGCGAUGGGACGACGGGACGGUGUUGGGGACGCCCUGGGGGUGGCCCGUGAUGGCACACAGCUCUACUCGACAAAUCCUGCCACCUCCAAGUCCCGGGGUGCUGAUCUGCACCAGCACGUGGGGCAGCAGUACUUCCCAACAGUGCGGAGAAGAGCACAUGCCCCACUGGGCGAUGAGAGCAGACAGACUCUUGGCUUCUCAACGCCAGACACGGUCGGAGAGCUUUCCUUGUCCUAUUAGAAAAGUUCAUGAGGAAGCUGUGAAUAGGAUCAGUCCAGAGAAGUAAAACUCUUUUAUUUUCACUGUC